CCGCUUCGCCAGAGCUCGGCUCCGGCCCUCGCCCCGCGCCCAGGCCCCGGGCCGCGGAAAGCCUCGCGUCCUAUUGGCUGCAGGAGGGAGGACGGCGCGGGGCGGAGCGCUGAUUGGUCGCCGGGCGAUGCUGCGACCCGCCCCUCGGGGGUCGCGUGACGCCAGGUGGACGGGGGCUCGUGCCCCGGCGGGCGCUGAGGUGGUUCUGGCGGUCGGGGGGUGUUGUCGUGCUGCUCAGCACAGCUUUCGUUCCUCUGUACUCGGCGGAGUUUUUAUGCGUUGCCCUCAGGUGGGAUGAAUUUGACUGCAACAAAAGUCCACUGAGAUGCGUCAGUGUUUCCCGAAGGCUCUUAAUCUCUUAUAACUUCCUCUCCUUUUGGGGGCAGAGCUCCCAUCAGUGCGUACCGCACUGCAGCUGAUGGCGUUCACCCUCUGACACUUUGUUUCUGCUCGAUGUAACGCGAGGGUUUGGGGCGCCGCAGAACUACGUGGUUUCAUGGCAUCGUUUUUAGUUUAGAUCGGCAAAUCGUUAACAAUUACUUUCUGCUUAUCCGUAUCUUCGGAGUCUGGGGACGAGAUCCUUCCUCUUGCGAUCCAUCGGCACCUGAAGGAUCUCUGAAAGGAAACCGGUGGAACGUGUGAGGGCUUCCUCUGGCGGAAAAGAACAAGACGAAAUAAGACACUAGGGAAGCUAAUGUGAGACACUAGUGCCCAAAUCACUUUAGACACGACUGAUAUGGCUGAUGAGGAGAAUCCAGCUGACAUAGAGGUCCAUAUGUGAGGAAAACAGCCACCUUCAGGUCUGACCAUUCUAAUUUCUACAUGUUGAACAAGCUUGCUGUGGCUGUUUUUGCUGUGCAUAAGCUACUCUGAAUAUGCAUACAGUUUUGAUAAGUGACCAAAGCCAGCUUUUUUCCCUUCACCAAAUAUCUCAUUCAUCUUUCUCAGUCUUAUAGUUCUCCUUACUGCAGACCAUUUUGAUAUUCUGCCAUUCAUGCCACCAGCUUCUCAUUUAUGAAAGAGAAGCAAAAUAAAAUAAACCAAGCAGAAAUAAAGCAGUUUGCUUCAUGCAUAUUCCAAGUUUGAAUCCUGUCUUUAGACUGAUACUUCACAUUCUGUUUUACUUUGAACACAUUCCUGUAUGUUUUCCCAUAGUCUUGCUUCAAGCAAGCAAGACAAGCUGUUCUGAAACUUGCUCUUCCAUCCAAAUACAUGCUACUGAUUUGUGUUUAUAUAUAUGCGUGUGAAUAUAUACUUAUUAUGUGUGUAUGUAUAUAAACUUGCCCAGUCAUCAGGCUACAGUCCACUUUGCUGAAUGUUGAAAUACAUCCAUUGUUGCUACUCCACCCAACUUGAGAAGUUAUACUGGGGCUUUCUUAGACUUGGAAUUUUCCUGUUUUGAACUGUUAAUUAUUUUAAUUAUGAAUAUUAUCUAAGACUUUAAUAAAGGUAGUUUUACCUGUACAAUCUGUACCAUUUAAUUGUCCCCCAUACUGUUUCUCAUUGUAUGAUCAGUGUCUGACCAUCCCUUGUUGUUCUUAUUAGACUCUCACAAGUUAAUCAUUUAUUAAUUCUGGUUUGCAGUUAAAACACUUCCAGUAUUGACAUGCAGAUCAAACAUCUCAGAGUUUUACUGCCACCUCCUGACCUCUGGCACAACUACUGAUAUUUUUUUCAAUCUUGUUUAGUGGUUUGGAUUUGCCUAAAUAAGUCUCUUAGCACCACCAAACUGGGUUGGACAUGGCUGGA
rnacentral:lncRNA from 1 species